rnacentral:rRNA from 1 species
GACGAACGCUGGCGGCGUGCUUAACACAUGCAAGUCGAACGCUGAAGCACCAGCUUGCUGGUGUGGAUGAGUGGCGAACGGGUGAGUAAUACGUGAGUAACCUGCCCUUGACUCCGGGAUAAGCCCGGGAGACUGGGUCUAAUACUGGAUGCUACAUGUCACCGCAUGGUGGUGUGUGGAAAGGGUUUACUGGUCUUGGAUGGGCUCACGGCCUAUCAGCUUGUUGGUGAGGUAAUGGCUCACCAAGGCGACGACGGGUAGCCGGCCUGAGAGGGUGACCGGCCACACUGGGACUGAGACACGGCCCAGACUCCUACGGGAGGCAGCAGUGGGGAAUAUUGCACAAUGGGCGAAAGCCUGAUGCAGCGACGCCGCGUGAGGGAUGACGGCCUUCGGGUUGUAAACCUCUUUCAGCAGGGAAGAAGCCACAAGUGACGGUACCUGCAGAAGAAGCGCCGGCUAACUACGUG